GUGUCAGCAGCCGCGGUAAUACAGAGGGAGCAAGCGUUAUCCGGAAUGAUUGGGCGUAAAGCGUUUGUAGGUGGCUCGUAAAGUCUACUGUCAAAUAUCGAGGCUCAACCUCGAGAAGGCAGUGGAGUACUCACGAGCUAGAGUGUGGUAGAGGUAGAGGGAAUUCCAUGUGGAGCGGUGAAAUGCGUAGAGAUAUGGAAGAACACCAGCGGCGAAGGCGCUCUACUGGGCCAAGACUGACACUGAGAAACGAAAGCUAAGGGAGCGAAUAGGAUUAGAUACCCUAGUAGUCC
rnacentral:rRNA from 1 species